AAACCAUGAUGAGGGCAGUAUCUCUCAUACUCCUUGAAUCGCUCCCAAGCUUCAUAGAACGAUUCUAUUGGGCCUUGUUGGAAACUUUGUAUCUUGUUUUUCCAGCU
rnacentral:snoRNA from 1 species